AAAAAACUUUUAUAAUUUUAUAAUUUUAUUUUAAAUUUAUUUUACAUACAAAUUUUAGUGUUAAAUUAAUAUUAUUUAAAUAAUAUUUAUAAAAUUGUAGUAAUUAAUAUUAAAUUAUUUAAGAAAUUAAGAUUUAGUAAUAUGAAAAUAAAUAACUAAUUUUGUGCCAGCAGUUGCGGUUAUACAAAAAUUUAAUUAAAAUUUUUCAAUAUAAUAAUAAAUAAAAUUAAAUUAAAAUAAAAAUUAGAUUAUUAAGUGAAAUUUUAAUUUAAUAUAAAUUUAUAUAAUUAAUUAUGAAUUAAUAAAUUUAUUAAAAAACUAGGAUUAGAUACCCUAUUAUUAAAAAUUAACAGAUAAUAUUAAAAUAGUAAAUAAUAAUUUAUUGAAACUUAAAUAAUUUGGCGGUAUUUUAGUUCAUUUAGAGGAAUCUGUUUAAUAAUUGAUAAUCCACGAUUAAAUUUACUUAAUUUAAAAUUUUAUAUAUCGUUGUUAAAAAAAUAUUUUAAAAUAACAAUAAUAUUUGAAAAUUAAAAUAAAAAAUUAAUUCAGAUCAAGAUGUAGAUUAUAAUUAAGAAUAUAAUGGAUUACAAUAAAAAUAUUUAAAUAGAAUUUAUUAUGUAAAAAUAAAUGAAAUUGGAUUUAAAUGUAAUUUUAUGUAUUAUAAUAAAAUGAUUAAAAAUUAAAAUAUGUACAUAUUGCCCGUCACUUUCAUUUAAAAAUUGGAAUAAGUCGUAACAAAGUAGAGGUACUGGAAAGUGUUUCUAGAAUGAU
rnacentral:ncRNA from 1 species